rnacentral:rRNA from 1 species
GAUGAACGCUGGCGGCGUGCCUAAUACAUGCAAGUCGAGCGAACAGACGAGGAGCUUGCUCCUCUGACGUUAGCGGCGGACGGGUGAGUAACACGUGGAUAACCUACCUAUAAGACUGGGAUAACUUCGGGAAACCGGAGCUAAUACCGGAUAAUAUAUUGAACCGCAUGGUUCAAUAGUGAAAGACGGUUUUGCUGUCACUUAUAGAUGGAUCCGCGCCGCAUUAGCUAGUUGGUAAGGUAACGGCUUACCAAGGCAACGAUGCGUAGCCGACCUGAGAGGGUGAUCGGGCACCCUGGAAAUGAGACACGGUCCAGACUCCCAACGGAGGCAGCAGUAGGGAAACUUCCGGCAUGGGCGAAAGCCCGAACGAGCAACGGCGCGUUAGGGAUGAAGGUCUUUGGAAUGUAAAACCCCUUUAAUAGGGAAGAACAAAUGUGUAAGUAACUAUGCACGUCUUGACGGUACCUAAUCAGAAAGCCACGGCUAACUACGUG